GUUGGCUACUCAGCUGUUUGGUGCUAUACUGUGAAAAGGAAGUACUUAGACGUGGACAUAGUGCAAAGCUGAGACUGACUUGUGGUUUUGUUACAGGUCGCUCUCAGUCUCAAAAAGGUUGCUGACCCCUGAUAUAGACCCUGAAUUGAGAAACGGCUAUAUCAGCAAGGGGAGUGCAGUGCAGAGCUAAGGCUGUCUUUUUGUUUGGUUACAGUCUUACGUACAGAUAUAUGUGAGAACCCCAACAUCUUGUGACCACAUGAACCACAUGCACUGUCCACCAAUGCUCCAACACUUCCCUGUCCAGUUGGUGGGUGCAAAGAAGACGACAACAAAAAUGAUGGUAACCAUGGGCACUGGCUUGAGGAUUAUAUAACAUUUUGGUCCAAACAGCGCCACCAAGAGGCCAAAACUGGAGGCUAGGAUGGCAAAUACCUCCACAGCAUCUGUAUAUUUGCCUGGUGAGCUGAUGUAAGCAGGGACAAAGGCCACCCACACUGCACAGAAGAUCAGCAUGCUGAAAGUGAUGAGUUUGGCCUCAUUGAAACUGUCUGGAAGAUUCCUUGCUAGAAAAGCUAACAAACAACUGAGAACGGCCAGCAAACCAAUAUAACCAAGUAAAACUGCAAAACCAACUGUGGACCCAACUACACACUCAUAAACUAUCUUUUCACUGUGAUACUGGGUGUUUUUAUGAGGUGCUGGUGAAGCAGAGACAAGCCAGGCAGUGCAGAUUGCUGCUUGAACAGAAGUCAGAACCAUAACUGUCCCUCUCUGCUGCACCGCACCAAACCACUUUAGACUGGACUCACCUCCUGGUUUGGAGGCCCUGAACACAGCCAGAACCACCAGGGUUUUCACCAGAAUACAUGAGACACAAAGCACAAAGCUGAUGCCAAAUGCUGCAUGUCUUAGUUGGCAAGUCCAUGAUCUAGGUCGUCCAAUGAAGAGCAACGAACACAAGAAACACAAUUUGAGUGACACCAAGAGAAGAAAACUGAGUUCUGAAUUGUUGGCACGAACUAUAGGUGUACUGCGAUGAUGGAUGAAGAUGCCCAGAACAACAACACAGAUAAAUGUGCCCAACAGUGAGGUGGUUGUCAAGCAGAUACCCAGAGGCUCAUGGUAGGAGAGGAACUCUGUUUUCUUCGGAACACAGUGAUCACGCUGGGGGCUGGACCAGAAAUCUUCUGGACAACUGGUGCACUCCAUGGAGUCUGAGAAAAGAGGAGAAGUGAUGAGAUACAUGUUUAUACAACGUCUCUGAACUGUGGUGUUUAAAAUGUUACAAUCACCAGUUGUAUUGCUGAUCUUUCCCUCAGAACAAGGGACACAAUCAAAACAACACUCAGGUUCCCCCUUCUUUCUGGCCAUACGGGUUCCUGGAGGACAGCUCUCACUGCACACUGACCGAGGAGGCUGUAUGGAGAAAAAUCAGUGUCUGUUACACUUAUAAUGUUUAAGGUAAAGAGAUGGUAGUCUGAAAAGUAAGACGUAACCUGUUUGGAUUCAAAGUUCCAGAAGAUUGUGUCUUCAUCCAGUGUGAGUUCUUCAUCUUUGAAGGCUGACCUCUUAACCUCACCCACUCUCUGAACUUUAGUUCUUCCAUCAGGGAGCCACACCCAGUUCAUGAUGUCAUAUAUUGGUAAGGCAUUACCAUUCUCAUC